AUUGAACGCUGGCGGCAUGCCUUACACAUGCAAGUCAAACGGCAGCACGGGAGCAAUCCUGGUGGCGAGUGGCGAACGGGUGGGUAAUAUAUCGGAACGUGCCCAGUCGUGGGGGAUAACGUAGCGAAAGCUACGCUAAUACCGCAUACGAUCUAUGGAUGAAAGCGGGGGAUCGCAAGACCUCGCGCGAUUGGAGCGGCCGAUAGCAGAUUAGGGAGGUGGUGAGGUAAAGGCUCACCAAGCCGACGAUCUGGAGCUGGUCAGAGAGGACGACCAGCAACACGGGGACUGAGACACGGCCCAGACUCCUACGGGAGGAAGCAGUGGGGAAUGUUGGACAAUGGGCGCAAGCCUGAUCCAGCAAUGCCGCGUGCAGGAUGAAGGCCUUCGGGUUGUAAACUGCUUUUGUACGGAACGAAACGGCGAGCUCUAAUACAGUUUGCUAAUGACGGUACCGUAAGAAUAAGCACCGGCUAACUACGUGCCAGCCGCCGCGGUAA
rnacentral:rRNA from 1 species